GACAGAGGAUGCAAGCGUUAUCCGGAAUGAUUGGGCGUAAAGCGUCUGUAGGUGGCUUUUUAAGUCCGCCGUCAAAUCCCAGGGCUCAACCCUGGACAGGCGGUGGAAACUACCAAGCUGGAGUACGGUAGGGGCAGAGGGAAUUUCCGGUGGAGCGGUGAAAUGCGUAGAGAUGUGGAGGAACACCGAUGGCGAAGGCAGCCCCCUGGGUCGAAGAUUGACGCUCAUGCACGAAAGCGUGGGGAGCAAA
rnacentral:rRNA from 1 species